rnacentral:lncRNA from 1 species
CUGUAGUUGGCUUCACGGCAAUAUCCCUUCCAAUAGUAGCCUUUUCUUUCUUCCUCACAUACGAAAGCUCAACUUGGCUUUCAAUGAUUUUAAUUACUCCGAGAUUUCUUCUGGUUUUAGUCAACUUCGGAGCUUGACACUCCUUAACCUCUCUUCCAGCAAUUUCAUGGGGUCAAUUCCUGCAUCAAUAGGUAAUAUCACCCAACUUUCUUAUUUGGAUCUUUCAUAUAAUAAUUUUAAUGGUCACAUACCAUCUUCCUUUUCAAAUCUUGAGCAGCUUCAUUAUUUAAUUCUGAGGAGCAAUUUUUUCGUUGGUAAAAUUCCUGAUAUUUUUACCAAUCUAACCCAACUUUCUUACUUAGAUUUCAGUAGUAACCAACUUUCUGGCUCAAUUCCGAGCUCAGUCUAUGAGCUUGAGAAUUUGAUUCUUCUCAGACUUUCUUCAAACAGAUUAAGCGGCACCGCUGAGCUGUACGAUUUUGCAAAGCUCAAAAAUCUUAAAUGGCUAUUUGUUUCUAAUAAUAGAUUAUCAUUGAGCACCAAAUUAAAAGUCAACUCUUCCUUUCCCAAUCUUUUUGGGUUGGGUUUAUCUGCUUGCAAUGUAAGUGAAUUUCCGGACAUCUUAAGAACCCUGCAUCAAUUGCAGUGGUUGAACCUUUCUAAAAACCGAAUUCAUGGUAGGAUUCCUAGUUGGAUGUGGGACUUAGGAAUAGCUACUUUGUAUUACCUAGAUCUUUCCAACAACUUCCUGACAAACAUUGAAUAUUUUCCACCGACAAAUAUGACCCAACUUAACUUUGAUUCGAACCUAACCCACAAGGUCUUGGAUAUGAGAAUGAACAACUUCAAUGGAAAAAUCCCUCGAAAGUUUGUAAAAAGUUGUAAUUUGACGAGUCUUAACCUUAAUGGAAAUCGGCUGGAAGGACCACUGCCACCAUCUUUGGUGAAUUGUCAUCACUUGGAAGUUUUAAAUGUUGGGAAUAAUCAAAUCAAUGAUAACUUCCCCAAUUGGUUAGAAAUUCUUCCAGAAUUGCAAGUUCUUAUCUUGCGUUCCAAUAGAUUUUGGGGUCCCAUUGGUGAGAACACAACAAUAGUUCCAUUCCCUAGCUUAAGAAUAAUUGAUUUGUCUCACAAUGAAUUCACCGGAGUUUUGCUAACAGGAUAUCUUGAUAAUUUUAAAGCCAUGAUGCAUGGGAAUAAUAUUAGUGUUGAAGUGGAUUAUAUGACACCUUUGAAUUCUUCUAAUUACUAUGAAUCAAUAAUUUUGACUAUCAAAGGCAUUGACAUCAAAAUGGAGAGAAUUCUAACCAUUUUUAUGACAAUUGAUUUGUCGAGUAAUAAAUUUCAAGGAGGAAUUCCAGAAGUGGUGGGAAAGCUCAAUUUACUCAAAGGUCUCAACAUUUCUCACAACAACCUGACAGGUGAUAUUCCAUCAUCGUUGAGAAAUUUGACCGAGGUCGAAUCUCUAGACUUGUCUUCAAACAUGCUUGUUGGGCAUAUUCCAACGCAAUUGACGAGCCUGAAAUAUCUUUCAGUGCUAAAUCUUUCGUACAACCAGUUUGAGGGACCUAUACCUCGAGGAUCCCAAUUCAAUACAUUUCCAAAUGAUUCAUAUGUUGGUAACUCAGGGUUGUGUGGAUUCCCAUUGUUAGAAAGCUGCAACAUUGAUGAGGCGCCAGAACCAGUAGGGUCAACAAGAUUUGAUGAAGAAGAAGAUGCCUCAAGUUGGUUUGAUUGGAAGUUUGCUAAGAUGGGUUAUGGAUCUGGAUUGGUGAUUGGCUUGUCCGUCGGAUACAUGGUAUUUGGGACUGGAAAGCCACGAUGGCUUGUAAGGAUGAUUGAAAAGUAUCAAUCUAACAAGGUCAGGAUAAGAGUGAGCAGUCUUGGUAUCGCAAGAAGAAAUUAGUAAGUGCAUCACUUUCUCAUAUUAGUUUAAGUAGGUUACAUGCUGAUAUUUUCCAUCAUCUCAACUAAUAUUUUAACCAUAUAUUAAUAAUCUGAUGUGUUUUUUGUUCAGGAAUUUUACACUCAUGGAAUGGAAUUAAGCUGUCGAAGUCAAAUAAUCACCCUCCAGGUACAGAAAUUAAUUUUCUCGCUUUUAUUUCCAAUUCCUAAUAAUAUACUAAGACUUAAUCUUUUGUUGGAAAGCUUGAUCAAAAUUCUGAGGGAAAAAAUCAUUUGAUUAAAUAAUGUUGCUGUAAGAAAUGGGGUUGGGGCAGCUUGAUUUGGUGUAUCUUGCCUUCGGUAGGCAUGUUUGAUUAUCUGCCAGCAUUUAGAAGAUUUUGAUAUUGGGAAUAAUCAAAUUAAUAAUAACUUUUCCCACUGGUUAGAUGUUCUUCCUAAAUUGCAAGUUCUUAUAUUAUGAUCUAACUGAAUUUGGGGUCCCAUUAGUGAUACCAAAAUAAGAGUUCUCUUCCUAAGUAUUGAAUAAUUGAUCUCUUUAACAAUGAACUCACUGAUGUUUUACCAACAUGGUUUCUGGAAAGCUUUAAAGCCAUGAUUCAUGGAGAUAAUAAUACUAUUGAUAAUGAAGUAGAAAAUAUAAUUAUCAAUUCAAAAAGUUUCUUCAACCACGAAUCAUUAAUUUUUGCUAUGAAAGGAAUUGACAUACAAAUGGAGAGGAUUCUAGCCAUUUUCAUGACAAUUGAUUUGUUAGCAAUCAGUUUCAAGGAGGAAUUAUAGGAGUGGUGGGAAUGUUUAAUCCACUCAAAUGUCUCAACAUUUCUCGUCAAUAACCUCACAGGCGAUAUUCCAUCAUCAUUUGGAAAUUUGACAAAGCUUGAUCUUUAAACCUCUCCCCAAACAAGCUUGUUAGGCUGAUUCCAAUGUAAUUGGUGAGUUCAAAUACUAUUUUGGUGCUAAAUCUUUCAUACAUUUUUAAAUGAUUCUUGUGCUAGGAACCUGGGGUAGUGUGGAUUCCCAUUGUCAAUUGCUUGCAACGAUGAUGAGGCACCAUAACUGACAGUACCAAAUUCGAGCUGGUUUGAUUGGAAGUUUACCAAGAUGGAUUACACAUCUAGGUUGGGGAUGACUUGUCCAUUGGAUAUAUGGUAUUUAUAAAUGGAAGGCCAAGAUGGUUUGUGUGGAUGAUCAAAAGAAGUAAUCUAAUAUGGUGAGAAGGGUGAUAAGACAAUGUAGAACAAGAAGAAGAAAUUAGUAAAAUUAGUAAGUUCACAUCUAGCUCAGAUGAGUAAUUAUCAAGUGUUCUUUUGGAUUUGUAAUCUUAUUAUUAUUCUUUCCCUAGAUAACAUCAUAGCAUAUUGAUAUUUUUCAAAAUUUUUAAGGAAAAGAAAUGAUUUGAAAUAGGUUGAGACUAUUUACACUCACCAUAAUACUCAAUAAACCCAUUUACUAAUCAAGUCAUCGUCUAAAUUUAAAAAUUUAUCUUUCAUUCAAUAAACCCACCUUUAUAACCAUUAUACCCUUAUUUAAAUCUCUUUCUCUUCUCUUUCUUUUUUGCGACUUCUAUAUCUCUACUUCCUCUUAGUAUUCUAUUUUUGUUUUAUAACCAAAUCAUCCACUGUUCUUGUCUUGUUGCAGUGGCUCUUUUUCAUUUUUUUUUCUCCUUGACUGAAACUCUCAAAGUUCUAUCAUGAAACACUAAAAAAAGGAUAAAGUAUAAAGAUCCUUGAUCUCAAUUAAAAGACAAUUUUUUUCACACCAAAUUGCAAGGAAAUAUAAUGUAUGUCAAAGUAAAUAAGUCUUUUAUUUAUAAGCUAUAGUUUAGUAAUGUUAAAGAGCAACAAUAAUCUUUUAUAUAUAUUGAAAAAUAAAUGCAGAUAUAAAAACUUUAGAGAGAGAAAUUAAAGACGAUUAAGUUGCAAUAAUAUUUAGCUAUAAUGAUUAUUAUAAUAAUUUAAUUUAAGGAUAUUUGUGUAAUAAAUUAUCUUUUUAGAAUUGGAUUAAUGAAUAGUUUGGUGAAUUCAAAUAACUUCGCUCUUUGAAAUAAUGUUAUAUUCUUGCAAGUCAUGAUGUAUCUCGUGUAGCUUGGGCCGUUUAUUUUGGGUUUGGGUGUAGAUCAAUGAGAGGUUGUGAAUUUUCCCUAUUGAAAUUAACAUAUACUACUUACCUUCUAUGAUUUUCAUAAUAAUCAAUAACUCUUAUGGCAACAUAAGUUUACAGUAUUAUCCUCAUUUUCUAAUACCUUUUUAUUCAUAUUUAUUAUAAAUUAAAUAAAUUAUAUAAAUGAAAAUUAAAAUAAAAAAUUUAAGUAUUGAAAAUAAGCAAUAUAUAUUUUGAUGCGAAUAAAAAAUUAAUAAUAAGAUUUUUUUUGUACUUUUUAUUUUUUUAAACUCUACCCAUUUAGAAUUUUUAGAGAUAUCUCCGAACUCCCCCAAAUAAGAAUUUUUGGGUAUAAAGGUGGGUUCGGGGAUCAUAAUCCCUGACCUCAAUUUGCCCAUUAUCAUCCCCGCCUAGUAUGAAACAGGACAUGAUUUGUUUCAAAUAAUUCAGCCCUAUACAGUGCCCAUAAACAAAUGCACCUUUGUGCUUAGAAAUACAUACAGAAUGCCAAGAUAAUUAAAUGUUCCUAACCGUCUUUAGGAAAAAAAGAAAAUGUAAUGACUUCGGUAACGGAAAUAAUACAGACAAUGCUAAUUUGAGCACAGCUUCUUAUAUACGUCUGCGUUUGAACUGGUUUGUGGAAAAACUGUGAAAAGGGAGUGGUUCUACAUUCACCACGAUGCCUUCCUAGGACUCACCAUUCCCCGCCGAACACGUGGCCUAGAUUGCCCUCUUCAUUAGUUGCAUGAAAGGAUCCUACUUUGAACUCUUAACUUUCUUAUCCUGCCCAUGUGGCCACGAGAUUCACAUAAUUAAUUAGAUUAUGAAUUUUACAAAUUAGCGACAAAGACACUCACCAAACCGGCCAGAUUCCAUAUAGAGUUCCAAGCUCCGUAACAAGAUCACUUCGUGCUUUAAAAUUAUUACAUAAUUAAUUGGAUUCAAUCCUUUCCAUUCACUGGAUAAAUGGGUUACUUAACACAGCCUUGUCCAGUUUUGAUCUGCCUCCAGUUAUUGCUCUUGUAUUUUCAGUGUUGUUCUGCGAAGCUUUGCUCUCAUGAUCAAAGCUCUGCGUUACUCCAAUUUAAGCAACUCUUUUCUUUUGAACAACAUUCUUCGUAUGAUUGUGAUGAAGUAUAUCAACAAUCUUGUCCAAAGAUGAUGUCUUGGAAAGAGGAUGCUGAUUGCUGCUCAUGGGAUGGAGUAACAUGUGAUACGGUGGCUGGUCACGUGAUUGGCCUCGACCUUAGCUGUAGUUGGCUUCACGGCAAUAUCCCUUCCAAUAGUAGCCUUUUCUUUCUUCCUCACAUACGAAAGCUCAACUUGGCUUUCAAUGAUUUUAAUUACUCCGAGAUUUCUUCUGGUUUUAGUCAACUUCGGAGCUUGACACUCCUUAACCUCUCUUCCAGCAAUUUCAUGGGGUCAAUUCCUGCAUCAAUAGGUAAUAUCACCCAACUUUCUUAUUUGGAUCUUUCAUAUAAUAAUUUUAAUGGUCACAUACCAUCUUCCUUUUCAAAUCUUGAGCAGCUUCAUUAUUUAAUUCUGAG